UUCACAUGGAGUUGUCCCUGAUGAAAGGACCAAAUGAGGAAGUUUAAGAAAAUAAAAGGAAGUUUAAAAGAAAGAGAUGAAGACGUUGUGGAGAAGAUGAAGAGAAGAAGAAGCUUAAUGGAAAUGAAAAGGAAAAGAGGAUUAGAAGAAAAAAAAGAAGGGAGAAUGAAGAAGGAUCCUAUCAUUAGAACUAAACCCC
rnacentral:lncRNA from 1 species